AGGUACUAAAUGGAGAAAUUAGCAAAGUAUAUAGACAUAUAUCAGAAUAUAGAGUACAGUUCCACAGAAUUACUGUUCUGCAGAAAAAUAUACAGAGAUGCUGUAACCAGGCAACAAAAAUAGAUGAUUUAAUCAGAUAUAAUCCUGAUCUCUCAGAAAGGGAUAUAGGAACAGAAUAUCCCCUCUCCAGUCUACAAGUACAGCUAGGCAAUGACUUACAGAAAUGUAUUGUUGUUUUAUAUGAUAAAUGGACAAAUAAUGGAGUCCUCUAUAGCCCACCUGAUUG